CACUUCCGCCGGCUUGAGUAGGAGCACUAUACCCGUCUCCUACCGCUUUUGUUCUCCCACUCCCAUCCAGUCAGUGCUGCUGAAAGGAGGGGAUAAAGCCAGUUGGGAAACCACAAGUAGCCCGGACGCCACAUGCAAAGCGCCGUCUACACAGAGGAUACGCGGCACUCCGUAGUUACAUAACUGGACUACUUUUUUUUUUUCUUCUAUCAUUGUUGGGCUUUUUCACGCUUUUUUUUGUUGCACCGAAACUGACUGACUCCCCGACCUAAACUCAAAAUGGAGAACGACGAUAAAUAUCUCCCCGAGCUGCUGGCGGAGAAGGACAGCCUGGACUCGUCGUUCACGCACGCCAUGAAACUUUUAAACGCAGAAAUUGAUAGAAUCCAGAAAGGCGAGACUAAAAAGGAGGCAGACGCAUACCUGGACCUUUUCACAACAAAGAACAUCAAACUCAAGGAACGGGUGCUCAUACCUGUCAAACAGUACCCGAAGUUCAAUUUCGUGGGGAAGAUCCUGGGACCUCAGGGCAACACAAUCAAACGUCUGCAGGAAGAGACCGGAGCCAAAAUCUCUGUGCUGGGCAAAGGAUCCAUGAGAGACAAAUCCAAGGAGGAGGGGCUGAGGAAAGGCGGCGAGCCCAAGUACGCCCACUUGUCUAUGGAGCUGCACGUCUUCAUCGAGGUGUUUGCCCCCGUGCCAGAGGCCUACCUGCGCAUGGCGCACGCCAUGGAGGAGGUCAAGAAGUUCCUGUUUCCCGAUAUGAUGGAUGAUAUCUGCCAAGAGCAGUUCAUGGAGAUGGGCUACCUGAAUGGAGGCCAGGAGCACGGAGCCAGAGGACGAGGGGGCCCUCCGGUCAGGGGCCGCGGAGUCCCCCCUGGUGGAGCACACAGGGGUCGGGGAAUGCCUCCUCGCGGCGCUCCUGCCAGGGGAGGGGUGGCUCGGGGCGGCCCAGCCAGAGGUGGCGCAGUGAGGGGCGUCCCCGCAGGCCGAGGAGGACCCCCGGCAGCACCCGCCAGGGGAGCCUCGGCACCCCGCGCCAGGCCCCCGGCUGCCGGACCCCCGCAGAGGAUGGCGCAUCCACCCCCCCACCAGCACACCCCCGCUGCAGCCGAUGAGAGCUACGAGGAAUAUGGCUACGACGAGAGCUACACAGACACGGCCUACGAGUCAUACGACAGCUAUUACAGUCAGCCGCAGGCCGAGCCAGAAUACUAUGACUACGGACACGGAGAGACCACAGAGUCAUACGAGUCAUACGGCCAGGAUGACUGGAAUGGGACCCAGCGAACGGCUUCAGGGAAGGCCCCUCCCCCCUCCAGAGGUGCCAAGACGCCUUACCGGGAGCACCCGUACCGACAGUACUGAAGCGGACUCGCCGCCCUUAACGCGUCGCCCUGACUACCUGUCGCCUGUCUACCACGGCAGCUCUCGCUUUAAGCAGCCCGACAAAAUCAAAUUCUGAAAUGGCCUUUUUUAAACGACCCUUCAGCAGUCAGAUGUUAGGGGUUUUCAUUUUGUUUCUCAUUCAAAACCGCCUUUUUAAAUCAAAAUGAAUGUAUUGACGUCUGGAGACUUUAACCCUACUAAAUGAUGUCUUGAUUGAUUAUCAAAAGAGCACAACUUAUUCUUUCUCUCUCUUUCUAUACUUUUUAAAAAGGACCCAGAGGUAAGACCUCUAAAAUAACCUGGAUAGCUUCCUAAUGUGUAUAGAGUUCUAAAGCAUUGAAUGCCUGGGUAUGUAUAAGACUUUUUCAAUCCUCUUACCUGUGGUCGUAAGCGUUAAUGAGAAUUGCUUUCAUAGCUGAAAAUUAACUGAGUUCAAACCACCAUUCAGGUCUAGGCUUCAUUGUCAUGAAUGACGCUGGCGCGAUGGCUACUUUUAGUACAGAGUAAUGGCAGUGCAAUGGAGAGGAUGGUUAUAACCUAGACAACUCCACUGUAAAGGCACAGCUAUCGGUCACUGAGUGCCGGGAGACUGACAGUCUGCUGAAGUGAAGACCAUGCAAACCUCAGUGAAGCCGUGCACGGGAGCAGCUCAGCACCACGGAGGUGGUCAGACGAAAGCUCUCGGGGGGCGGGGAGGGGAGGGGAAGGGAGGGGAGGGGAGGGGAGGAGGGUUGAAAGGAGUGGCCAAAGGCCAAGUUCUGUCCCAGGCAGGGAGGGUCUGUGGUGGCCCGGCUGCCAGAGUGACCCACAGGAGCCAGCUGAUAAAGCGCAGGGUGACAGGAUCUGGCUCCGACUCCCACUGGAACAGGACUCAAGGCUGCAGCUGGUCAGCAAAGACAUUCAGCCAGCUGGGAAUCCAGAAGAAAAAAAAAACAGAGACUCACACUUUAUGUGGACUAUUUUUUUCUACCGUUUCUACAUAUCAUGUCUAUAUUGAAUUGCGAUGCAUUAUGCUCCUGUAAUUAUUUUCUAACAUAGAAGACACCCACUUGAAGCGUUUGCUGAUUGCAUGCUGCUGUACACAGCUUCCACAGGCCACCCCCCCCCUUCCAGCAAAUGUAAUUGUUAUAGCCUGAUUCACCAUAAAAUGAGCACUCCUGUUAUAGCAGGCUGUGAAGUUGGUUUUAAUUUCUAUUAACUCCUUGAAUUAGAAUGAGAGGAAAAAAAAAAACAUUUUAAUUCUACAAGGCAAGCUGUUAUUCUCCCAUUCAGGGAGAAUUGUGUGACAUCUGCAUUUUUUUUUUAAUUAUUUUUUUUUUUAUUUAACAUUCUGCCUGCGUGUUAUUUAGUAUCCAUGCCUUUAUUGCCGGGUGAAAUUAGACUCAGUGCUCGAGAAUUACAGAUACCCGGAGAGAGUGGAUCACUAUCUCGCUGCGGCCGAGUUCACUGCGAGCUCUCUCGCACACACACACACACACACACACACACCGCCACAGCUUGGCACUGCGCGGCCUGUGCUGCCCCCGAGGAUAUCAAAUGCUAAUGUAGCAGCCUGUUUUGCAUGUACUCGCAUGUACGCUUCCCGCAAAAUGUGCAGCGCUUUCAUAACCAACGCUGGCGCUUCAGCAUCCAAGUAUGAUAAUUCAGCGAGAUGGACCCGGGAGCAGAGCUGCAUGUGAGAAAAGGGACAGAGGGUGAAGACAGACAUUACUGACUUCCCUCCAUCUAUCCAUCAUGCCUCUGUUGAUUUGAUUCCCCUCUAUGCCAUUUUCUGCCAUUAUCACUGAUGGUUUUACGGCUGCCUGUGGUGCCGAGUUACAUUUAGAGGUCAAAACUGCACUUUCCCGUAUUAAAAACAAGUUUCUCUGUCCCGAUUCGCUGGUCAGAGGCAGCAUUAGCCAAGUCAGAGGCUCCAUUUAGUUUAUUGAAAAAGCUAGCAGCUCAGAGGAUGGAACAUUACAUAUUAGGAUAGAAACCAUCAUUUGAGAUGAAAUGUCAACGGGCCAUAUCCAAAACAGAUAAUUUUUCAGUCUUUAUGUCCUAUUAUGUCUAAAAUAAUGAUUUCUGUGUCUCCUAUAAUCCGAUGAAAGAUAAGUGAUGGCGCGGAAGCCAUCUCCUUUUGUUUGAAAUCGAUGAUCUGUCAUAAGCACGAGGGUGGAAAAGAAAGUAAAUGUUGCUGUGCAAUGAUCAAUAAAAGUAAGACUUGAAUAUGA